AUGUGUUCAGAUUUUCCUCCAUCCCCUACUAGCGUCGAUGUUUUUACACACAUCGUUUUAUGCUUGUCCGGGAAGAUUUCAGCUGAAUUAUUUGAAGAAGUUUUGGACCAAUUAGAUUUAGACGUUGGCGCACAGGCUGGACUUGCUGGAGGAAGCAGUAGUGGCGUGCAGAGGAGGGAACUUGACGAUGAUGAGGACUCUUGAUUUUAUGAGGUUCAUGUGUUUCUUUGAGCUUCUCUGGAGAAAAUGGACUUGGAUAUCGGUU